GAAGGUAGAGCUUAGUGGUAGAGUAUGUUCUUAGCAUGUAUGAGGUCCUGGGUUCAAUCCCCAGUAUCUCCA
rnacentral:tRNA from 1 species